GAUGAAGAACGCAGCGAAAUGCGAUAAGUAAUGUGAAUUGCAGAAUUCAGUGAAUCAUCGAAUCUUUGAACGCACAUUGCGCCCGCCAGCAUUCUGGCGGGCAUGCCUGUUCGAGCGUCAUUUCAACCCUCAAGCUCUGCUUGGUGUUGGGGCCCUACGGUUGACGUAGGCCCUUAAAGGUAGUGGCGGACCCUCUCGGAGCCUCCUUUGCGUAGUAACUAACGUCUCGCAUUGGGAUUCGGAGGGACUCUUGCCGUAAAGCCCCCAAAUUUUCUAAUGGUUGACCUCGGAUCAGGUAGGAAUACCCGCUGAACUUAAGCAUAUCAAUAAGCGGAGGA
rnacentral:misc_RNA from 1 species